rnacentral:lncRNA from 1 species
AUAGGGGAUGUUCUUAAGGAGGAGUCGGAGGGGGGGGGGGGGGGGGGGGGGGGGGGGGGGGGGGGGGGGGGGGGGGGGGGGGGGGGGGGGGGGGGGGGGGGGUAUAAAUAUCUCAUUCAUUCAUUCACUUCCUACUCUGAACGCAGUAAGGACCAAAAGGGAGGCAAUGUGGAGAGUCUCAGCGCUCAUCGUGAUUGUUUUCUUUCAGUGCAUCCCGGUAAACUGCACGAGCGAUUCCGCCUCACUUACUAUGGAUAAAAGCAUCAUUGACGAACGCAAAGAUUGUGAGCACAGGAUCUACAGUGAGUCGGAUGAUUAUGUGGGUGAUGCUAAUACGUCAGGGGUCUUGAAUCUUUCAUGCGACUUUCAAAAAAGGACCUGGAAGAUCGACUGUCACAACAAGAAGAGAGAUUUUGAGGCCUGUUUCACGAUUGAACGGGACUCUAAAAUAGUUUAUGAAGACAUGCGCAAGAACAAACAUCUCCUUGUUCUGCCGGUGGUGGUGGCUGCUGUUGUUGUUGGGAUCUACUUUUAUAUCCGCUACAGGAAAAAUUAAAGAUGGCAACAGAAACCCAGCUGCUGAAAACCAACACAGUAAGUACGACCAUCACAAAUGAACCUGAAAUAGAAAAACCUGUAACUGUAGCUGUACACACUCUAAUCCUUCUCUGUUUUUUUUUCUUUUUUUUCAAAGAUUCCCCUAUUUGAUGAUGAAGAACCAGCAGUGGUUCUUCUCUUAUUCCAACUUUUCUGUCUGCCUGGCUACUUUUUUUUAAACUUUAUAAUAUCUUAGGGUAGAUUUAAUGCAAUUUAAAAAAUAGUACAUUUUAAUGUGCUGAGUAACACCUUAAAAAAUAGUUUUUAAAAUGAACAUAAUUUAUGAAUUUAUGAAAUAAUCACAGACAAGAACCUAGCUUUUCGGCGGCUUUAGUCACAAACCAAACCAAUGCUAACACCAAUCUAAGCAAAUAUAUACUACACUACGAUUCUGUAUAUCGACGCUGUCCAAUAAAAACACUUAUCUCCAAAACA